GGGUUACGGUAGCUUUAAAAGUACGCAAACACCAGAUCUUACGACAAUUUG
rnacentral:sRNA from 1 species